GUCCGCGAUGAAUUGAAGUAGGGCGACCUGAUAGGGAAAAAUCAUGUUCUAGUAAUAAUACUGGAACAUGAUUUUUCCCUAUCAGGUCGCCCUACUUCAAUUCAUCGCGGA